UACGGGGGGAGCAAGCGUUGUUCGGAUUUAUUGGGCGUAAAGGGCGCGUAGGCGGAGAGAUAAGUCAGAUGUGAAAUCCCGGGGCUCAACCCCGGAACAGCAUAUGAAACUAUUUUUCUAAGAGGGUAGGCGGAGAAAAUGGAAUUCCACAAGUAGCGGUGAAAUGCGUAGAGAUGUGGAAGAACACCAGUGGCGAAGGCGGUUUUCUAGCUUAUACCUGACGCUAAAGCGCGAAAGCAAGGGGAGCAAACAGG
rnacentral:rRNA from 1 species